rfam:Clostridiales bacterium 41_21_two_genomes Ley3_66761_scaffold_46, whole genome shotgun sequence.
GGGGAUGAAAGGAUUUCGACAGGGUCGGUAAGUCUUGAUCAGCGAGUAGCGGAGUUGCACCGCUAUAAAAGUAACAACUUAAAAUUAACUGACAAUAAUCGUACAGUUCUUAAGGCUGCCUAAGCGCGCCUUCGUUCUCUUUAGGUAGUGCCACGGACCUUUUGAGAGCGUCGACUUAGUGGCGAACAUGAACGAAAGAGUGUCUCGGCUUUCGUCAGGUAUCAGAGAAUACUUUAGCGCAUAGGCUGACUGCCGCCGCUGCGUGAGGGGAUAACUCAAAAGACAGCCUACACUCGUAGAGCCCUCGAUAAGCCGAUUUUGGACGCGGUUUCGAUUACCGCCAUCUCCACCA